rnacentral:rRNA from 1 species
AGCGAACGCUGGCGGCAGGCCUAACACAUGCAAGUCGAACGAAGUCUUCGGACUUAGUGGCGGACGGGUGAGUAACACGUGGGAACGCGCCUUUAGGUUCGGAAUAACCCAGGGAAACUUGUGCUAACACCGAAUGUGCCCUUCGGGGGAAAGAGUUAUCGCCUUUAGAGCGGCCCGCGUCUGAUUAGCUAGUUGGUGAGGUAAAGGCUCACCAAGGCGACGAUCAGUAGCUGGGCUGAGAGGAUGAUCAGCCACAUUGGGACUGAGACACGGCCCAAACUCCUACGGGAGGCAGCAGUGGGGAAUCUUGCGCAAUGGGCGAAAGCCUGACGCAGCCAUGCCGCGUGAAUGAUGAAGGUCUUAGGAUUGUAAAAUUCUUUCACCGGGGACGAUAAUGACGGUACCCGGAGAAGAAGCCCCGGCUAACUUCGUGCCAGCCGCCGCUGUAACAC